rnacentral:lncRNA from 1 species
CGCGUCUUUAGUGAGCCUGGUGGAAAUGCUGAGGUGAAAUGAGAGAGGAAGGGAGGCUAACCUGUCGGACAUACCCAGGAAUCAGGGGCACCGGAAUGAGAGACAUAAAGUCGUCACCGCAUAAGCAUCAGCGUUACCAGCAAACUUCAGAAAAUCUUAAUCUAAUUUUUAAAAGAAGGAGAAAAAGGAAGAGAGAUCAAAGAAAGAAGGAUUUAUUCUAUCAUCUAAACAAAGAAGAAAAGGACGGAGAAGAGGAGUGAAGAGUGAAAUGGUGGGGAGAGGAUGAAGAAAGACUGCAUUUCUACUGACGUAAAAUCAACUCUAAGAAACCUAUGGUUUAAUGGAGUGGAGUCUAUUAAGUCGAGUUUUGGGCUUGAGAGUCACUGCUCUGAAAUAUACCUCUACCUGAGACAUUUAGGAACAAACCCUGGGGAGUUGAACGUCUGGCGCUGCACAACGGGAUCUUACAUGUUAGCUGAGCCCUCUGGGAAAUGGAGUCCAGAGUCGUGGAGCAUUCUGGGAAUCGUAGUCCAGCGUGUCGGCGGGGCACAGUCGAACGCAGCCGGCAAGUAGGGGCGGGGUUCUCUCGGCACGACCGGAAGUGGCCGUUGAAGCCGGCCGUAGGCGUGAAAAGACG